GACAGAGGUGGCAAGCGUUGCUCGGAAUUACUGGGCUUAAAGGGUGUGUAGGCGGUUGGGUAAGCAUUUUGUGAAAGCCCUGGGCUCAACCCAGGAAUGGCAGGAUGUACUGCCCAACUUGAGGCGCGUAGAGGUCACUGGAACUCUGGGUGGAGCGGUGAAAUGCGUAGAUAUCCAGGGGAACGCCAAUGGCGAAGGCAGGUGACUGGGCGUGUCCUGACGCUGAGGCACGAAAGCGUGGGGAUCAAACGGG
rnacentral:rRNA from 1 species